rnacentral:lncRNA from 1 species
AGUUGGAGACAGAUUUUAGUUGGGUGUGGAAGGAUGAAAUUUCUUCUCCAAAUUGAUAGUAAAUUUUUGAGUGGGCAUUUGAUUCUUCCUUUCGAUUUUUUAAGAACUUCGGUUGGUACUUCGAUUUCAAUUUUCGAUAAUAUAUAUCAAGUGAAUUGACUUCGAUUUGGUGUGAUUUUUCUGGUUCGAUUUGGUUCUUCCGUAU